rnacentral:rRNA from 1 species
UCCGAACCGAGCGAACGUUGUUCGGAAUCACUGGGCUUAAAGGGCGCGUAGGCGGGUGCGCCCGUCUGCGGUGAAAGCCUCCAGCUUAACUGGAGAAGGGCCGUGGAUACUGCACAUCUUGAGGAGGGUAGGGGCAUCUGGAACGGUCGGUGGAGCGGUGAAAUGCGUUGAUAUCGACCGGAACUCCGGUGGCGAAGGCGAGGUGCUGGACCCUUUCUGACGCUGAGGCGCGAAAGCCAGGGGAGCAAACGGG